UCCCAAAGCCUUGGUGGCAGCUUCACGAAUAGGGAACUUAUCGUCUUUCAAGGCAUCUUUCAAAUGGUUAACAAGCGAUGGGAACAGUGGCGACUGGCAUAUCAUGGUUGAGCAAUGUACUGACAUGGAGGCUAAUGUGAGAAGGGAGCCGUGUCUGAUGAACCAGUUUGCCGUUGUACUUGAAUCAGACAGUGACUGCAGCAGAUCUG
rnacentral:misc_RNA from 1 species